rnacentral:lncRNA from 1 species
GAGUCAAAACAUUUCACUUGGUAGUAUUUGUCAAGAUAUUAAAUUUAGUUAGACUCCAUGAAAAAUUAUAGAAGAUAAGCCAACUCAGAAAUGUAUUUAUUCUUCUGGUUUUAACCCAUUUAUGCUGGAGGUUGCAGAUUUUUUUGUGAAAAAUCAGGCCUUGGUGAUGAUCUUGAGCAGUAGGACACAAAUAACUCCCACAAGCUUAGCGUUGCAGUAAUGGGACCCUAGGCAGAAAUGGGUUAAGAUGAACAUGGAGCUUAAUUUGAAUCAGGUGCAUAUAUUUUGACAUUUUUUUGGUAACGUAUCAUAUUCCCACACAAUUAAAAAAUGUCAUUGGUAUAUGUAGAACCAGCAGAGAAAUGCAAAACAUUGAACGAUAAUGUUAGUGUAGACUAUAUGUGAUAAUUUAUGAAUAAUAUUUAAUGGGCAUAGAUGAAUGGUGUAAAACAUUCUGUAACAUAUUUGUCUUCAUUACAGUAUAGCUAGGGCCAAUUCUUUAAAUAUAACUUUAGCAGCAGGAUUUCUGAAUUUUAAAUUAUGGCUUCAGUUGAAUGAAUUACUCUUAAAAUAAAUGGUUUUUGAAGGUACUUGGCAGAUUUAACCUUUCAAAAUAGCCUGAGGCAUUAUGUUUGGGACCAAAACCACCAGCAUUCUCCAAAUGAGAAAGAAUUAAUUUCCAGGAUUAAAAUAGGAUUUUGAAAACAGAAGCUUCAUACUGAAGAGACAGACACAUGAUGAGUUGAGGUCAUUGACAGCAACAGCAGAGAGAUUCAGGGAUUCAGGAUUUUGUUUCAAAUCCUGCAGCCUCAUUCUGUUGUCACUUAAUACAUACUGCCCUCCUACCUCUUGUGGAAUCUCCUUAGCAUCAUAGCCCAGACUUGAGACCUCAAAUUAGGAAAUAGAUGGCUGACGACUCCAGACUCACUGAUGAGGUUUAGAACUCGUUCUGUCAUACCAAGCACUUAAUUCCGGUGCUUAGAAACAUUCGGUAUUUGUUGAAUGAGUGAGUGCCUUAUUUUGGUUAGAGAAAAAGGUUAGUUUUCAUGUUGUACGAGUACUGCUAUUGGAACCAAGAGUUGUGAAUACACAAAAAUAUAUUUCUGAGGGCCAGGCUAUUGUUACGGUUUAGCAUUACACUGACCUUUCUUGCCCUGGCACAUACACACACACACACACACACACACACACACACACACACACACACACAUAUGUGAUCUAAGUAGCUGACUUCAUUAAAAUAUUGUUAAAUUUAACUCUAUUAAAAAUAAAUGUUUGGCCAGGUGCGGUGGCUCACGCCUGUCAUCCCAGCACUUUGGGAGGCCAAGGCGGGUGGAUCAUCUGAGGUCAGGAGUUCAAGACCAGCCCAGCCAACAUGGUGAAACCCUGUGUCUACUAAAAAUACAAGAAUUAGCAGGCAUGGUGGUGGGCACCUGUAAUCUCAGCUACUUGGGAGGCUGAGGCAGGAGAAUCGCUUGAACCCAGGAGGCAGAGGCUGCAAUGAGCUGAGAUCCAUGCCACUGCACUCUAGCCUGGGUGACAGAGUGAGACUCUGUCUCAAAUAAAUAAGUAAAUAAAUCAGUGUUUUAUAAUCUCAGGAAAUGAAUCAAAUAUGACUUUAGCUUUGUAGAACCAACUUGGAUUUCAGUUGUUACGAUACCCAGCGGCUAACAGGAUAAGACGGGCACCACUCCAUUCAAAAUAGGAUUGUGAUUCUCUGUGUAGAAAUGUGUACAUUUUCAUUUUUCUGUGAUAAAAAUGGCUUCUAAUAUUUUAUAUUUUAGUGUCAUGUUAGAGAUUUCAUUCCAUGCUCAUUUGUUCAUUCACAUGUAUUUUUAUUUUUAGCUCUAAGCGAAAGACAUGAGGCCUCAGCCUGAAAUGAGGUUGUUUUGAGGUCAUCUGAUUUCUGACUAGAAGGUGAGCGAUCGCCUCGUCCUGAAACCACUUCAGCCCGCAUGGUAAAUGGCAAAGCCAGCGAGAGGGAGGCCUUCAUGUGUUUCCGUGUCUGUGCUGCCCCAGUUCCUUCCUCUUCAAGAUUAAAAACAUUUUAAAGUUGUAAACCAAAGGUUUGCAAUUUUUUUUGGUGAUGGCAUGUUCAGAAUCUUGGAUCCCUAAGUUCAAUAUAUUGGACAUAUUUAGGAACUCUGGAAAUUAUGUUGUUUUCACAUAUCUAGUAACUUACUAGAUGAAUCAGUAGAUUUCAUUAAAGUAUAUCUAAUAACAGAUAAUUAUGAUGUACUUCUGGGUUGACAUGCAUGUCUCUCAUUAUCAGCUAUCAGUAUUAGUGUCAUGCUUUGGAGACAGUUAUCUUUUGAAGGUUUUGGGGUUCUUAUGAACCUCAUUUUUCCCAGGAAGUUUCUGUAAUUCCUCCUAUGCCUAUUCUUGUCUUUUCUGUCUGCUUGCAGUGUAAGUUAUUUAGAUCAGAGGCAAUUAUUUUUCAGGAAGAAAGAAAUCAUCAAGUGACACUCCUAAAGGCAGUAAAGACAAAAUUUCAGUCUGGAACCGGUCUCAGAAUGGCCUGUAUUAGAAUAUGCAAAGUCCACCCAAAUUAUAUCCAAAUAUACUUGUGGCACAGUGCUACCAGUUUUUAAAAUGAGACGUUACUAUGUAGGGCAGAAGUGCCAAUGAGGAGAGAGAAGGAGCUGUUCAGUUUGCCCUCCAGCCGCCACCUCCUUCUAUUAUUGGCUGAAUGAAUUAGUGCAAAAUUAGUAGCCAAAAGGGUAGACAGUGUGAAUGGAAGGGAGGAGAAGGACAGAAACUUUAAUCUCCAGGAAAGCUUAUUUAUCCUUUAAAAAAUGGAAAGUUGGGCAGGCGCAGUGGCUCACGCCUGUAAUGCCAGCACU